rnacentral:rRNA from 1 species
AGUGAACGCUGGCGGCAGGCCUAACACAUGCAAGUCGAGCGGCCGCACAGUAAGCUUUCUCUUUUACCGGUGGCGACUGACGGACGGGUGACGCAUACAUCGGCUUCCUCUUUUUCGUGGGUGAUAUCGGGGGGACACUUCCGCUAAUACCUAAUAUUACCUACCGCUUAGAUCAGGAGAUCUUGAUACCUUUCGCGACUGAUUUAGCCGGUGUCGGAUUAGCUAGUUGGCGUGGUAAAGGCCCACCAAGGCAACGAUCCGUAGCUGACCUGAGAGGAUGAUCGGCCACACUGGAACUGAGACACGGUCCAGACUCCUACGGGAGGCAGCAGUGGGGAAUAUUAGGCAAUGGGCGCAAGCCUGAUCCAGCAAUACCGCGUGGGUGAUGAAGGCCUUCGGGUUGUAAAACCCUUUUAUUGGGGAAGAAAAACAGCGGAUUAAUACCCGGAUGUUUUGACGGUACCUAAAGAGAAAGCAACGGCUAACUUCGUG